AAACCAAUAACCUUUCUUGGAGUCAUUAGGGAACUGAUUUGCAGGGCUCACUUUCCUCCCAGCACUUGCAGUGGUGAGUUCAGAGUAAGCCAAGACCUGAUAGCUACAGCAGAAGCCACGACUAGUAGGAAAAGCAGGAGUAACUUUGGGUUUUGUUAUUGGGCUGUGACUGAGGAUAGGGCCUUGAACAUACUAGGCAUAUGAUCUACUACUGAGUUAUAUUGCUAGCUUUUUAUUCUUCAGACAGGGUUGAGUUUGAAUUCAGUGUAACCCAUGCGGGCCUUGAACUUGUGAUCCUUCUGCUUCAGUCUCCAGAGCUUCUGGAAUCACAUGUUUGCAUGACCAAGACUGGCACAUAGCCUUGACGAGUCCUGGAUGCUGACUGUCCGCUAGGCACAGUGAGGGCCUGCUUCCUACAAAGGCGGUUCCUUGUUGGUUCUAAUGGGCUCCAGGAUAGAUAGUAAGAGGAUCACAGCUGCAAGAGACUGCAGAGGAGGACCCAGGAACUGCAAGCUUCUGAUAUCUAUUCCUACAGCAAACAGUCCUCACACUAGAGACUUCAGCACCUUAGUUUCUACUCCCCACAUAGCCAGUGACUCAAAAUGGUUAGAAGCGUUCUAAAAGGUAAGCAAGUGACACUAGACUCAUGCCGGAAUUACCAGACAGUAAAUUUAACUGCAGGUUAUGCAUUACAGAGACUAAUAUGAAUAAACAAUGUGUAAGAACA